CCAGACGCACAGGGGAAAUUUCAUCCUACGGGAGACAUCUGAGACUGAGUUAAGACUGAGGUAAGACCUAGGUGAGCAAUGGAGGCAGCUUUGUGCAGCAGCGCGUAACUCAACUCAAGAGUGUCUAUGGUGAUGCUGCAGUUAAGGGUCCGUAGUCGUGAAUGCAAUUAAAUGUCGUUGUUCAAUAGCGAUGAGUUUGCUAAUGUUUGCGGAACGGAUAGGGAGUGUAGUAUAGACUGGCGAAGAAUGAAAUCUCAAGACCCAGUUUGGACUAACGGAGGCGAAGGCGACACUCUUAGACGUAUCUUAGGAUCAAGGACGAAGGCAGGAGUAUCGAAAGUGAUUAGACACCGCUGUAGUUCCUGCAGUAAACUAUGCCGACAGCCUGUGUGUGAGAAUACGUGGGCGGGAGAAAUCUUAGUGUUCGGGCUCUGGGGAUAGUACGCUCGCAAGGGUGAAACUUAAAGCGAAAUUGACGGAAGGACACUACCAGGAGUGGAUUGUGCUGCUUAAUUUAACUCAACGCGGGAAAACUUACCAGGGUCAAGUCAUUCGUUGAUCGAAUACGUGAGAAUGGCAGGAGUGGUGCAUGGCCGUUGGAAAUUGAUGGGGCGACCUUUAGCUUAAAUGCUUAAACCAGUGAGACCUCCUUGACAGGUGUUCUGUAACACAGGAGGGUGGAGGCUAUAACAGGUCCGUGAUGCCCUUAGAUAUCCUGGGCAGCAAGCGCAAUACAAUAUCUCUUCAGUAGACAAAGUGAUUUGAGAUGAGUAGGAUCUACGUUUUAAAUACGUGGAAAAGAAUC
rfam:Enterocytozoon bieneusi H348 ctg01_2656, whole genome shotgun sequence.